AACGAACGCUGGCGGCACGUUUUAAGCAUGCAAGUCGAACGGUAGUCCCACUUUCGGGUGGGAUGAGAGUGGCGGACGGGUGAGUAACACGUAGGUGAUCUAUCUUAUAGUUGGGGGAUAGCCCAUGGAAACAUGGGGUAAUACCGCAGAGGCUGUAGUUAUAGAGAUUACAGUGAAAGGCGCGUUAUGUGCCGACUGAGGAUGAGCCUGCGGUCCAUUAGCUUGUUGGUAGGGUAAGAGCCUACCAAGGCGACGAUGGAUAGCCGACCUGAGAGGGUGGACGGCCACACUGGGACUGAGACACGGCCCAGACUCCUACGGGAGGCAGCAGCUAAGAAUCUUCCGCAAUGGGCGAAAGCCUGACGGAGCGAUGCCGCGUGAACGAUGAAGGCAGGAAUGUUGUAAAGUUCUUUUCUUGGUGAGGAAUAAGGUUAAGAGUGGACUGCUUGACUGAUGACGUUAGCCAAGGAAUAAGCCCCGGCCAAUUACGUGCCAGCAGCCGCGGUAACACGUAAGGGGCAAGCGUUGUUCGGAAUUAUUGGGCGUAAAGGGCGUGUAGGCGGAUAUAUAAGCCUGGUGUAAAAGGCUUCGGCUCAACCGGAGUUGGGCGCUGGGAACUGUAUGUCUAGAGUACAGGAGGGGGAGUUGGAAUUCCUGGUGUAGGGGUGGAAUCUGUAGAUAUCAGGAAGAACACCGGUGGCGAAGGCGAACUCCUGGCCUGGUUACUGACGCUGAGGCGCGAAAGCGUGGGGAGCGAACAGGAUUAGAUACCCUGGUAGUCCACGCUGUAAACGAUGUGCACUGGGUGUGGUUCUAUGAAGGAUCAGUGCCGUAGCUAACGCGAUAAGUGCACCGCCUGGGGAGAUGCUCGCAAGGGU
rnacentral:rRNA from 1 species